GGCCUCUUGGUCUAGAGGUAUGAUUCUCGCUUUGGGUUCGUGCAUUCGAAAUUGCGAGAGGCCCCGGGUUCGAAUCCCGGAGAGGCCC